rnacentral:lncRNA from 1 species
GGGCUCUGGAGGAUACUUUAGAACAAGUUUUAUCCAAGCUGAACACCAUGAAAAUGGAAAGCAAGAAUACUGUGAAGAUGCUGAAGGAAGAGAUUCAAAAGCUGGAUGACCUUUACCAACAAACAGUGAAGAUAACCAGUUAACUGUGCAGACCACAACUGAAGAAAGAAGAAAGGUGGGAAACAACUUACAACGUCUUUUGGAGAUGGUCGCCACACACGUAGGGUCUUUGGAGGUAAGGGUGGAGGUGUUUACUGAAUUCUAAGAGACAUUUUAUACUUUGUUUCUAUAGGAACU